GGAUGAACGCUGGCGGCGUGCUUAACACAUGCAAGUCGAACGAAGCACUUUAUUUGAUUUCCUUCGGGACUGAUUAUUUUGUGACUGAGUGGCGGACGGGUGAGUAACGCGUGGGUAACCUGCCUUGUACAGGGGGAUAACAGUUGGAAACGGCUGCUAAUACCGCAUAAGCGCACGGCAUCGCAUGAUGCAGUGUGAAAAACUCCGGUGGUAUAAGAUGGACCCGCGUUGGAUUAGCUAGUUGGUGAGGUAACGGCCCACCAAGGCGACGAUCCAUAGCCGACCUGAGAGGGUGACCGGCCACAUUGGGACUGAGACACGGCCCAAACUCCUACGGGAGGCAGCAGUGGGGAAUAUUGCACAAUGGGCGAAAGCCUGAUGCAGCGACGCCGCGUGAGCGAAGAAGUAUUUCGGUAUGUAAAGCUCUAUCAGCAGGGAAGAUAAUGACGGUACCUGACUAAGAAGCACCGGCUAAAUACGUG
rnacentral:rRNA from 1 species